rnacentral:rRNA from 1 species
CAUGGCUCAGAUUGAACGCUGGCGGAAUGCUUUACACAUGCAAGUCGAACGGCAGCACGGGGGCAACCCUGGUGGCGAGUGGCGAACGGGUGAGUAAUACAUCGGAACGUGCCCAGUCGUGGGGGAUAACGUAGCGAAAGCUACGCUAAUACCGCAUACGAACUCAGGUUGAAAGCGGGGGAUCGCAAGACCUCGCGCGAUUGGAGCGGCCGAUGGCAGAUUAGGUAGUUGGUGGGGUAAAGGCCUACCAAGCCGACGAUCUGUAGCUGGUCUGAGAGGACGACCAGCCACACUGGGACUGAGACACGGCCCAGACUCCUACGGGAGGCAGCAGUGGGGAAUUUUGGACAAUGGGCGCAAGCCUGAUCCAGCCAUUCCGCGUGCAGGAUGAAGGCCCUCGGGUUGUAAGCUGCUUUUGUACGGAACGAAAAGGCUCUGGUUAAUACCUGGGGCUCAUGACGGUACCGUAAGAAUAAGCACCGGCUAACUACGUGCCAGCAGCCGCGGUAAUACGUAGGGUGCAAGCGUUAAUCGGAAUUACUGGGGCGUAAAGCGUGCGCAGGCGGUGAUGUAAGACAGGUGUGAAAUCCCCGGGGCUUAACCUGGGAACUGCAUUUUGUGACUGCAUUGCUGGAGUGCGGCAGAGGGGGAUGGAAAUCCGCGUGUAGCAGUGAAAUGCGUUGUAUAUGCGGGAGGAAACACCGAUGGCGAAGGCAAUCCCCCUGGGCC